rnacentral:lncRNA from 1 species
UAACCAUAUAAAUGUGUUUAUAUAUGAUGUUUACUAUAGGAUUAUUUUCAUAAUUGAUUUUCAACAUAUGUUACACAUUACAGGAUCCGAUUGCGGAUGUGGUAUGUGCUUUGCUCAUUGUUGAAAGCCGUAUGGUGAUCUAUAGCUGUUAAUAUCUGUGUCAUUUUGGUCUCUUGUAGAGAGUUGUCUCAUAGGCAAUCAUACCACAUCUUCUUUUCUUAUACUCACAUUGGAAGAUGACUCGUUGGUUAGUCGAACUGUUGAAGGGCAGCAAUGUUCUGUUUCAUCUGGUUCUACAGCACUAUUUUUUUUAAGGAAAAGUGAGUUCUUUCGCUUGCUUAUUUUGUAGUCUGUCAAUGUAAAUGAUUUGCUGUUUCGGGUUUCUUGUCUUUUUAUCAUGUGCUUGUAUUGCUUUUGUUUCUGUUUUCUUGUAGGUAGAUAAAUGGUUCAGUAACCAGCACCAAUACCCCAAACACGUUUUAGAACACAAUCAGCCUCUGAUGUUUCCUUUGUUUUUAUAGAUGUUGUAUUCCCAGCUUUAAAAGCAUAUAUGUAUCGCAACUUGUUUCUCUGGAUUUGUAGUCGUGCAGGAUGAAACGUGCACCUCUUUUCUGUAUGCUUUUUAUUCAAGUCACAAUUUGUAAAAGUUCAUAUACAUGUACAUUUUAUUAUAUCACUUUAUAUAUGAGUGUUACCAUAUAAUUAUGUUUAUAUAUGAUUGUUAUCGUACUUUAUGUUUAUAGAUGAUUGCUACCGUAUUUUAUGUUUAAAUAGAUGAUUGCUACCGUAUUUUCA